AGAGUUUGAUCCUGGCUCAGGAUGAACGCUGGCGGCGUGCUUAACACAUGCAAGUCAAGGGGUACCCAUGACGGAGGCUUCGGCCAACUGAAUGGACUACCUAGUGGCGGACGGGUGAGUAACGCGUGAGGAACCUGCCUUGGAUGGGAAUAACAGCCAGAAAUGGCUGCUAAUACCGCAUAAUGCAGUUGGUCGCAUGGCUCUGACUGCCAAAGAUUUAUCGCUCUAAGAUGGCCUCGCGUCUGAUUAGUUGUUGCGGGGUAACGGCCCACCAAGACGACGAUCAGUAGCCGGACUGAGAGGUUGGCCGGCCACAUUGGGACUGAGACACGGCCCAGACUCCUACGGGAGGCAGGCAGUGGGGAAUAUUGGGCAAUGGGCGCAAGCCUGACCCAGCAACGCCGCGUGAAGGAAGAAGGCCCUCGGGUUGUAAACUUCUUUUGUCAGGGACGAAGAAAGUGACGGUACCUGACGAAUAAGCCACGGCUAACUACGUG
rnacentral:rRNA from 1 species